rnacentral:tRNA from 1 species
GGAGCCUUAGCUUAGCGGUAGAGCGCCUGCUUCACACGCAGGAGGUCACUGGUUCGAACCCAGUAGGCUCCA